rnacentral:rRNA from 1 species
GGUUAAGCGACUAAGCGUACACGGUGGAUGCCCUGGCAGUCAGAGGCGAUGAAGGACGUGCUAAUCUGCGAAAAGCGUCGGUAAGGUGAUAUGAACCGUUAUAACCGGCGAUGUCCGAAUGGGGAAACCCAGUGUGAUUCGUCACACUAUCGUUAACUGAAUACAUAGGUUAACGAGGCGAACCGGGGGAACUGAAACAUCUAAGUACCCCGAGGAAAAGAAAUCAACCGAGAUUCCCCCAGUAGCGGCGAGCGAACGGGGAGCAGCCCAGAGUCUGAAUCAGCUUGUGUGUUAGUGGAACGGUCUGGAAAGUCCGACGGUACAGGGUGAUAGUCCCGUACACCAAAAUGCACAGGUUGUGAACUCGAAGAGUAGGGCGGGACACGUGGUAUCCUGUCUGAAUAUGGGGGGACCAUCCUCCAAGGCUAAAUACUCCUGACUGACCGAUAGUGAACCAGUACCGUGAGGGAAAGGCGAAAAGAACCCCGGCGAGGGGAGUGAAAAAGAACCUGAAACCGUGUACGUACAAGCAGUGGGAGCACCUUCGGGUGUGACUGCGUACCUUUUGUAUAAUGGGUCAGCGACUUAUAUUCUGUAGCAAGGUUAACCGUAUAGGGGAGCCGCAGGGAAACCGAGUCUUAACUGGGCGUUAAGUUGCAGGGUAUAGACCCGAAACCCGGUGAUCUAGCCAUGGGCAGGUUGAAGGUUGGGUAACACUAACUGGAGGACCGAACCGACUAAUGUUGAAAAAUUAGCGGAUGACUUGUGGCUGGGGGUGAAAGGCCAAUCAAACCGGGAGAUAGCUGGUUCUCCCCGAAAGCUAUUUAGGUAGCGCCUCGUGAACUCAUCUUCGGGGGUAGAGCACUGUUUCGGCUAGGGGGUCAUCCCGACUUACCAACCCGAUGCAAACUACGAAUACCGAAGAAUGUUAUCACGGGAGACACACGGCGGGUGCUAACGUCCGUCGUGAAGAGGGAAACAACCCAGACCGCCAGCUAAGGUCCCAAAGUCAUGGUUAAGUGGGAAACGAUGUGGGAAGGCACAGACAGCCAGGAUGUUGGCUUAGAAGCAGCCAUCAUUUAAAGAAAGCGUAAUAGCUCACUGGUCGAGUCGGCCUGCGCGGAAGAUGUAACGGGGCUAAACCAUGCACCGAAGCUGCGGCAGCGACACUAUGUGUUGUUGGGUAGGGGAGCGUUCUGUAAGCCUGCGAAGGUGACCUGUGAGGGUUGCUGGAGGUAUCAGAAGUGCGAAUGCUGACAUAAGUAACGAUAAAGCGGGUGAAAAGCCCGCUCGCCGGAAGACCAAGGGUUCCUGUCCAACGUUAAUCGGGGCAGGGUGAGUCGACCCCUAAGGCGAGGCCGAAAGGCGUAGUCGAUGGGAAACAGGUUAAUAUUCCUGUACUUGGUGUUACUGCGAAGGGGGGACGGAGAAGGCUAUGUUAGCCGGGCGACGGUUGUCCCGGUUUAAGCAUGUAGGCUGGUUGUCCAGGCAAAUCCGGAUAAUCAAGGCUGAGGUGUGAUGACGAGGCACUACGGUGCUGAAGUAACAAAUGCCCUGCUUCCAGGAAAAGCCUCUAAGCAUCAGGUAACAUUAAAUCGUACCCCAAACCGACACAGGUGGUCAGGUAGAGAAUACCAAGGCGCUUGAGAGAACUCGGGUGAAGGAACUAGGCAAAAUGGUGCCGUAACUUCGGGAGAAGGCACGCUGGUGUGUAGGUGAAGUCCCUGCGGAUGGAGCUGAGACCAGUCGAAGAUACCAGCUGGCUGCAACUGUUUAUUAAAAACACAGCACUGUGCAAACACGAAAGUGGACGUAUACGGUGUGACGCCUGCCCGGUGCCGGAAGGUUAAUUGAUGGGGUUAUCCGUAAGGAGAAGCUCUUGAUCGAAGCCCCGGUAAACGGCGGCCGUAACUAUAACGGUCCUAAGGUAGCGAAAUUCCUUGUCGGGUAAGUUCCGACCUGCACGAAUGGCGUAAUGAUGGCCAGGCUGUCUCCACCCGAGACUCAGUGAAAUUGAACUCGCUGUGAAGAUGCAGUGUACCCGCGGCAAGACGGAAAGACCCCGUGAACCUUUACUAUAGCUUGACACUGAACAUUGAGCCUUGAUGUGUAGGAUAGGUGGGAGGCUUUGAAGCGUGGACGCCAGUCUGCGUGGAGCCAACCUUGAAAUACCACCCUUUAAUGUUUGAUGUUCUAACGUUGGCCCCUUACCGGGGUUGCGGACAGUGUCUGGUGGGUAGUUUGACUGGGGCGGUCUCCUCCCAAAGCGUAACGGAGGAGCACGAAGGUUAGCUAAUCCUGGUCGGACAUCAGGAGGUUAGUGCAAUGGCAUAAGCUAGCUUGACUGCGAGCGUGACGGCGCGAGCAGGUGCGAAAGCAGGUCAUAGUGAUCCGGUGGUUCUGAAUGGAAGGGCCAUCGCUCAACGGAUAAAAGGUACUCCGGGGAUAACAGGCUGAUACCGCCCAAGAGUUCAUAUCGACGGCGGUGUUUGGCACCUCGAUGUCGGCUCAUCACAUCCUGGGGCUGAAGUAGGUCCCAAGGGUAUGGCUGUUCGCCAUUUAAAGUGGUACGCGAGCUGGGUUUAGAACGUCGUGAGACAGUUCGGUCCCUAUCUGCCGUGGGCGCUGGAGAAUUGAGGGGGGCUGCUCCUAGUACGAGAGGACCGGAGUGGACGCAUCACUGGUGUUCGGGUUGUCAUGCCAAUGGCACUGCCCGGUAGCUAAAUGCGGAAGAGAUAAGUGCUGAAAGCAUCUAAGCACGAAACUUGCCCCGAGAUGAGUUCUCCCUGAGACUUUAAGUCUCCUGAAGGAACGUUAAAGACGAUGACGUUGAUAGGCCGGGUGUGUAAGCGCAGCGAUGCGUUGAGCUAACCGGUACUAAUGAACCGUGAGGCUUAACCUU